rnacentral:tRNA from 1 species
GGGGUCAUAGCCAAGCGGUAAGGCGUGGGACUGCAACUCCCUGAGCGGCGGUUCAAAUCCGUCUGGCCCCUCCA